rnacentral:rRNA from 1 species
GUGCCAGCAGCCGCGGUAAUACGUAGGGGGCAAGCGUUGUCCGGAUUUACUGGGUGUAAAGGGUGCUCAGGUGGUCUUGUAAGUCAGAGGUGAAAUCCCGGAGCUUAACUCCGGAACUGCCUUUGAUACUACAAGGCUUGAGUAUGGAAGAGGUUGAUGGAAUUUCGGGUGUAGCAGUGAAAUGCGUAGAUAUCCGAAAGAACACCAGUGGCGAAGGCGGUCAACUGGUCCAUUACUGACACUAAAGCACGAAAGCGUGGGUAGCGAACAGGAUUAGAAACCCCCGUAGUCC